UACGGAGGGUGCAAGCGUUGCUCGGAAUUACUGGGCGUAAAGCGUGCGCAGGCGGUUCGCUAAGACCGAUGUGAAAUCCCCGGGCUCAACCUGGGAACUGCAUCUGUGACUGCAUUGCUGGAGUGCGGCAGAGGGGGAUGGAAUUCCGCGUGUAGCAGUGAAAUGCGUAGAUAUGCGGAGGAACACCGAUGGCGAAGGCAAUCCCCUGGGCCUGCACUGACGCUCAUGCACGAAAGCGUGGGGAGCAAACAUG
rnacentral:rRNA from 1 species